rnacentral:rRNA from 1 species
GACGUCGUGCGCGAGCGUUGUCCGGAUUUAUUGGGCGUAAAGAGCUCGUAGGCGGCUUGUUGCGUCAGCUGUGAAAACCCGCAGCUCAACUGUGGGCUUGCAGCUGAUACGGGCAGGCUUGAGUUCGGUAGGGGAGACUGGAAUUCCUGGUGUAGCGGUGAAAUGCGCAGAUAUCAGGAGGAACACCGGUGGCGAAGGCGGCGUUCUGGGCCUUACCUGACGCUGAGGAGCGAAAGCUGGGGGAGCAAACAGG